rnacentral:rRNA from 1 species
AUUAAGUCCUUGCUUAAUGGAACUGUUGAGUCGGUAAUGCCAAGCCGAGAAUAUAUGGAGCCCUACUGGAGAGAAGUAAUGACUCAGCCUAGCCCAAGCUCUAGCAAUGGUGAAGUGGCCGUUACGGACCACUCGCUAAGAGAUGGUAUGGUCAGCUAUAACGGAGCAAGAGUAUCAUUAUCUUAAUCUCCGGGGCCUGACGGGGUAACUCCAAAAUCUGCCAGGGAGGUUCCGUCAGGUAUUAUGCUACGCAUGAUGAACCUAAUUCUAUGGUGCGGUAAUAUCGGUGCCAUCAGUCCUGGUAAGACAGCUAAAUGCCAUCUUGGCAACCUGGUUGACCUCAUCAAUCAACUGGGACCCGCGCCAGCGGGGCUUCUUACCAACCGACGGAUGUGCCGAUAAUGCGACGAUAGUUGACCUAGUCCUGAGCCACAAAUAUUACAGAAAUUGCUACAUCGCAAACUUAGAUGUGAGCAAGGCAUUCGACUCAUUGUCACAUACUGCUAUAUAUGAAACUUUACGAGCUUAUGGAGCUCCAAAGGGCUUGGUUGACUAUGUACAAAAUACGUACGAGGGCGGCGGUAACAGUCUCAACGGGGAAGGUUGGUGUUCAGAGGAAUUCGUCCCUACUAGAGGAGUGAAGCAGGGUGACCCUUUGUCCCCCAUUCUAUUUAACUUGGUCAUCGACCGAUUACUUAGAGCCCUACCUAGCGAGAUUGGUACCAAAGUCGGAAAUGCCAUGAUAAACGCGGCCGCGUUUGCAGAUGAUUUGGUACUGUUUGCGGAAACUCGGAUGGGGCUUCAAACUUUGUUGGACAAGACUACGGAGUUCUUAGAUAUUGUCGGCCUUAAACUUAAUGCUGAUAAAUGCUUUACAGUCGGUAUUAAAGGCCAGCCGAAACAGAAGUGUACUGUGUUAGAGGCACAGAGCUUUUGCGUAGGCUCAAAUCAGAUUCCAACAUUGAAGCGUACUAAUACGUUUCUAUGUGCGAAGAUGGCUAAAUCUUCCGUCGGAUGUGCCGGUAGCAUUCGUUCAUGCCCCCCAAGGUUUUUGGGGGCGGAAUUCCAUCAAUGAGAUGGGUAGCACCAAUGCUAAGACUUAGAAGAUUGAGCAACAUAAAAUGGCCUCACCUCGUACAAUCCGAGGAAGCCAGCUCCUUCCUCGAAGCAGAAAAACAAAGGGCCCGAGGUAGAUUGAUAGCUGAACAAAAUGAAUUGUUAUCGCGUCCGGCAAUAGAAAAGUAUUGGGCGAACAGAUUGUACCUCUCCGUUGACGGCAGCGGACUCCGUGAAGCGGGCCACUACGGUCCUCAACACGGGUGGGUUAGUCAACCCACGCGUUUACUAACAGGAAAGGAAUAUAUAUACGGUAUUCGUCUGCGGAUAAAUGCCCUACCCACAAAGUCUCGUACUACGAGGGGAAGGCUCGAAUUGGAACGGCAGUGUCGUGCGGGAUGUGACGCUCCCGAAACAACAAACCACAUUAUGCAAAAAAGGUAUCGUUCGCAUGGGAGGCGCGUAGCUAGACACAACUGCGUAGUAAAUCGAAUCAAGCGGGGACUUGAGAAGAGAGGCUGCGUGGUCAUUGCUGAACCAAGUCUGCAGUGCGAAUCCGGCCUUAAUAAACCAGACCUGGUUGUACUCCGACCUAAUCACACGGAUGUGAUUGACAUAGGUUGUUACAGACGGACACUCUAUGGAUGAUGCGCAUCAGCGCAAAAUAAAUAGAUACGACAGACCGGACAUACGAACGGAAUUGCGACGCCGAUUCGAGGGGGAGGGGGAUUUGGAAUGGUCAAUCCAAAUGCCUCGACAUCUAAUUAGUGACGCGCAUGAAUGGAUUAACGAGAUUCCUACUGUCCCAAUCUACUAUCUAGCGAAACCACAGCCAAGGGAACGGGCUUGGAAUAAUUAGCGGGGAAAGAAGACCCUUUUGAGCUUGACUCUAAUCUGGCAGUGUAAGGAGACAUAAGAGGUGUAGAAUAAGUGGGAGAUAUUACCCUCGGUUUGGUAUCGUCAAUGAAAUACCACUACUCUUAUUGUUUCCUUACUUACUUGAUUAAAUGGAACGUGUAUCAUUUCCUAGCCAUUAUACGGACAUAUUUAUUAUAUCUUAUGGUAUUGGGUUUUGAUGCAAGCUUCUUGAUCAAAGUAUCACGAGUUUGUUAUAUACUCGCAAAUAAAUUCUUUAAUAAAACGAUGCAUUUAUGUAUUUUUGAUUUGAAAAUUUGGUAUAACUCCAAUUACUCAGGUAUGAUCACUGGGGCGGUACAUCUCUCAAAUAAUAACGGAGGUGUCCCAAGGCCAGCUCAGUGCAGACAGAACAAAAGGGCAAAUGCUGACUUGAUCUCGGUGUUCAGUACACACAGGGACAGCAAAAGCUCGGCCUAUCGAUCCUUUUGAUUUAAAGAGUUUUUAACCAGAAGUGUCAGAAAAGUAACCAUAGGUAUAACUGGCUUGUGGCGGCCAAGCGUUCAUAGCGAAGUCGCUCUGAUGUCGGCUCUUCCUAUCAUUGUGAAGCAAAAUUCACCAAGCGUUGGAUUGUUCACCCAUGCAAGGGAAAGUGAGCUGGGUUUAGACCGUCGUGAGACAGGUUAGUUUUACCCUACUAAUGACAAAACGUUGUUGCGACAGCAUUCCUGCGUAGUAUGAGAGGAACCGCAGGUACGGACCAAUGGCACAAUACUUGUUGGAGCGAACAGUGGUAUGACGCUACGUCCGUUGGAUUAUGCCUGAACGCCUCUAAGGUCGUAUCCGUGCUGGACUGCAAUGAUAAAUAAGGGGCAAUUUGCAUUGUAUGGCUUCUAAACCAUUUAAAGUUUAUAAUUUACUUUAUAAACGACAAUGGAUGUGAUGCCUAUGUAAUUUGUAACAUAGUAAAUUGGGAGGAUCUUCGAUCACCUGAUGCCGCGCUAGUUACAUAUAAAAGCAUUAUUU